rnacentral:rRNA from 1 species
GAGUUUGAUCUUGGCUCAGAACGAACGCUGGCGGCAGGCUUAACACAUGCAAGUCGAACGCGUGUAGCAAUACACGAGUGGCGCACGGGUGAGUAACGCGUGGAUAUCUGCCUUUUGGUUCGGAAUAACCCCGGGAAACUGGGGCUAAUACCGGAUGGCUCCUUCGGGAUAAAGAUUUAUCGCCAAAAGAUGAGUCCGCGUACGAUUAGCUAGUUGGUGAGGUAAUGGCUCACCAAGGCGACGAUCGUUAGCUGGUCUGAGAGGACGAUCAGCCACACUGGGACUGAGACACGGCCCAGACUCCUACGGGAGGCAGCAGUGGGGAAUAUUGGACAAUGGGGGCAACCCUGAUCCAGCCAUGCCGCGUGAGUGAUGAAGGCCUUCGGGUUGUAAG